AUGAACGCUGGCGGCGUGCCUAAUACAUGCAGGUCGAGCGAACGGACGAGAAGCUUGCUUCUCUGAUGUUAGCGGCGGACGGGUGAGUAACACGUGGAUAACCUACCUAUAAGACUGGGAUAACUUCGGGAAACCGGAGCUAAUACCGGAUGAUAUUUUGAACCGCAUGGUUCAAAAGUGAAAGACGGUCUUGCUGUCACUUAUAGAUGGAUCCGCGCUGCAUUAGCUAGUUGGUAAGGUAACGGCUUACCAAGGCAACGAUGCAUAGCCGACCUGAGAGGGUGAUCGGCCACACUGGAACUGAGACACGGUCCAGACUCCUACGGGAGGCAGCAGUAGGGAAUCUUCCGCAAUGGGCGAAAGCCUGACGGAGCAACGCCGCGUGAGUGAUGAAGGUCUUCGGAUCGUAAAACUCUGUUAUUAGGGAAGAACAUAUGUGUAAGUAACUGUGCACAUCUUGACGGUACCUAAUCAGAAAGCCACGGCUAACUACGU
rnacentral:rRNA from 1 species